CUGCUAUCGGGGUUCGAUUAAGCCAUGCGAGUCGAGAGGUGCAAGACCUCGGCGCACUGCUCAGUAACACGUGGACAACCUACCCUGAGGAGAGGGAUAACCCCGGAAAACUGGGGAUAAUACCUCAUAGACCAGGGAUGCUGGAAUGCUUCCUGGUCCAAAGGUCCGCCGCCUCAGGAUGGAUCUGCGGCCGAUUAGGUUGUUGUUGGGGUAACGGCCCAACAAGCCUUUGAUCGGUACGGGUUGUGGGAGCAAGAGCCCGGAGAUGGAUUCUGAGACACGAAUCCAGGCCCUACGGGGCGCAGCAGGCGCGAAAACUUUACAAUGCGAGAAAUCGUGAUAAGGGAACCCCGAGUGCCCGUAAAUCCGGGCUGUCCAUCAGUGUAAAUAACUGGUGAAGAAAGGGCCGGGCAAGACCGGUGCCAGCCGCCGCGGUAAUACCGGCGGCUCGAGUGGUGGCCGCUAUUACUGGGCUUAAAGCGUUCGUAGCUGGGCUGUUAAG
rnacentral:rRNA from 1 species